CCCUUAGAUGUCCGGGGCCGCACGCGCGCUACACUGAAGGAAUCAGCGUGCUAAAACCAUUGUCGAAAGGCAUUGGUAAACCCAUUAAAAUCCUACGUGAUUGGGAUCGGGAAUUGCAAUUAUUUCCCUUGAACGAGGAAUUCCCAGUAAGUGUGGGUCAUAAGCUCGCGUUGAUUACGUCCCUGCCCUUUGUACACACCGCCCGUCGCUGCCCGGGACUGAGCCGUUUCGAGAAAAGCGGGGACUGCUGCUGUCGGGGCUUUCGGGCCUUGGCUUCGGUGGAAACCGCUUUAAUCGCAGUGGCUUGAACCGGGCAAAANUCGUANCA
rnacentral:rRNA from 1 species